rnacentral:lncRNA from 1 species
ACAGAGAGUCAUCGGCGGCUAAAGGCUGAACUAGAGCAGAGCCCGGCUCUCGGCAGCCGGCAGGCAUGAGCCCUCCCGACAGAAACCGAGCCCAAACCUGCUGAUGCGCGGUGCUGCCGUUCCUGGGAUACGAUAAGAAAACCCGGCUUAAACUGGGACCAGCGUGGGAAACCGUUUUCAGUCACCCCUUUCCUCUCCUUUUCGUUUCGGGUUUGCUCUCGAACCGCUCAAAUAUAGUCUUCGGUUCCUAACUUUUCAUUACGUCACUCCUUUCCCAAAUCCCACUCUUCUGACGUAACUUUCGCCCCGGAGCUCCGGGAGGCUCUCAGGUAUCUCCUGCCCCGGGCCUGGGUUAGGCACCCGGGGGUGCACGUGUGGGAGCAUUUUUGGGGCCGGGGGGAUGCUCGCUGUGGGAAGACACCGCUGGGGAGGUGGUGCCAGCAAGAUACUAAAAAUGUCUGAGGCUGCUCAUUCAGCUGGAAUUUGUCCCACGAUGACUUAAGCAUGAAGAGCCAGUGCCACAGACCUCCAUGGAAAUUCCUCUUGAAGCAAUAAACCUUACUAAUGGAUCCGUUCUGAAGUUCA